GAUGAACGCUGGCGGCGUGCCUAAUACAUGCAAGUCGAGCGAACAGAUGAGGAGCUUGCUCCUCUGACGUUAGCGGCGGACGGGUGAGUAACACGUGGAUAACCUACCUAUAAGACUGGGAUAACUUCGGGAAACCGGAGCUAAUACCGGAUAAUAUAUUGAACCGCAUGGUUCAAUAGUGAAAGACGGUUUUGCUGUCACGUAUAGAUGGAUCCGCGCCGCAUUAGCUAGUUGGUAAGGUAACGGCUUACCAAGGCAACGAUGCGUAGCCGACCUGAGAGGGUGAUCGCCCACACUGGAGCUGAGACACGGUCCAGACUCCUACGAGAGGCAGCAGUAGGGAAUCUUCCGCAAUGGGCGAAAGCCUGACGGAACAACGCCGCGUGAGUGAUGAAGGUCUUCGGAUCGUAAAACUCUGUUAUUAGGGAAGAACAAAUGUGUAAGUAACUAUGCACGUCUUGACGGUACCUAAUCAGAAAGCCACGGCUAACUACGUG
rnacentral:rRNA from 1 species